rnacentral:pre_miRNA from 1 species
AGAGGGAUAGCUGGGUCAAAUGGUGACUUGAUUCCUAAUUUUCCAAGAAACCUCCAUACUGCUUUCCAUAUUGGCUGCACCAACUUGCCAUCCCACCAGCAAU